CUCCAAUGUCAAAGUCUGGAUAACUGUCGGCGUCUUCAUCAUAGUUGGAUUAUUCAGCGUUAUUGGAUUGAUUGUUCUUUGGCGAAAGAUAAAUAAAAGUGGCAAAAAGGAAAUGAUAAACACAGAGUAUGCUACAGUCAGGACUCCAGGUAACAGUCAAGUAGGUGGUGAAGAGCAGGCGUCUCCAGGUCCAACAACACCCACCAUCUACAGUAUGGUGGGACUACCCCAACCCCAGCCUGUG